rnacentral:rRNA from 1 species
GAGUUUGAUCGUGGCUCAGAGCGAACGCUGGCGGCAUGCUUAACACAUGCAAGUCGCACGGUCAGCAAUGGCAGUGGCGGACGGGGUGAGUAACACGUAGGAAUCUAUCUCUGGGUGGGGGACAACAGUGAGAAACUACUGCUAAUACCGCAUGAUACCUGAGGGUCAAAGGCGUAAGUCGCCUGGAGAGGAGCCUGCGUCUGAUUAGCUUGUUGGUGGGGUAAAGGCCUACCAAGGCUACGAUCAGUAGCUGGUCUGAGAGGAUGAUCAGCCACAUUGGGACUGAGACACGGACCAAACUCCUACGGGAGGCAGCAGUGGGGAAUAUUGGACAAUGGGCGAAAGCCUGAUCCAGCAAUGCCGCGUGUGUGAAGAAGGUCUUCGGAUUGUAAAGCACUUUUGGCAGGGACGAUGAUGACGGUACCUGCAGAAUAAGCCCCGGCUAACUUCGUGCCAGCCGCCGCCGUAAG